rnacentral:rRNA from 1 species
UUCGCAAUGCCCGAAAGGGUGACGAUGCGACGCCGCGUGAGCGAAGAAGGCCCUAGGGUUGUAAAGCUCUGUCAGGGGUUAAGAAAUGUAGAUAGGUUAAUACCCUGUUUAUUUGACAAAAGCCCCAAAGGAAGCCACGGCCAACUCUGUGCCAGCAGCCGCGGUAAUACAGAGGUGGCAAGCGUUGUUCGGUAUUAUUGGGCGUAAAGAGCACGUAGGUGGUUUUGUAAGUCAGAUGUGAAAGCCUUCUGUUCAAAGGAAGAACGGCAUCUGAAACUGCAAAUCCUGAGUGUAGGAGGGGAGAGUGGAACUUCUGGUGGAGCGGUGAAAUGCGUAGAUAUCAGAAGGAACGCCGGCGGCGAAAGCGAUUCUCUGGCCUAUUACUGACACUCAGUGUGCGAAAGCUAGGGGAGCAAACAGGAUUAGAUACCCUGGUAGUCCUAGCUGUAAACGAUGGGCACUAAGUAGAGGGGUUUU